CUUUGUUGGUGUCCUUUAGAAUUUCUUUCAUAUAGAUAGUUGAUGUUAUUUGUGCACAUGCAUUCUUUUGUAUUUGGCAAGUCAUUAAAAUUGAUUUAUGCUGAAACAUUCUAUUUCCAAACGAUAUGCUUCUAUCUUACUUAGGUGAGGUCCUUUUUUUUUUUAUUGCUCCAUUUCUGAAUUGGUAUGCGUAAACCCAUAUAUAUUUCAAGUUCAUUACACUCCAACUUUGUUAUCCCCGUCAGUUGUUUUUCCUUGAACCUUUACUUUCUUCUCAUUAUUGGUUGCAAUUUGUAAAAGUUUAAAGCAUUGGUUACUGAUUGCCUUGUUGUUACUAUCCAGACAAUGGCAUAUGUGGCUAUAUCUUUCCUUUUAGCAAUUAGCACACUCAGUUAUCAUUUUUCUCGUACUUGAUUCUUAUGCUUAAAUGCUGCCAUCCGAAUGUAACAAGCAAUUUAAUAUAGAAGACCUUGUACAUGCUAAAUCAGAAAAAUGAAAUAUUUAAUUGCCAGAUUAAACUGAAGCAGAACACAGAUCAAAAGUUUUUUUCUUGUAUAAAAAAUUUGUAGAUAUUAUAUUAUGUGUGGUUCCCCUGUUAUUUACUUGAUACAAAUGAUUUAACAUUUAAGUGAUUCCAGACUAGGAAAUUUUAUUAAGAGUUCCUUUAUCAAGCUUUAGAGGACUGUUGAGUGAAAAUCGAAUAUUAAAUAUAGUAUUUAUGUAAGUAUUUUUUGGUGAAUUAAGAGAACUGAUAUGUUUGUUGAGCUGAUUCUUAAGGCAUGGCUUGAGGGGAUGCAAGACAUGCGAAGUAUUAGACUAUUAGUUUUUUUUUUGGCAAAGGAUAAGUGACGAAGGCAGGAUUCAAGCUCAAGACCUUGUGAUAUACUAUCAAAGCCUUUACCACCAGCUAAGCUAGCUAACACCUUCGAAGUGUUAGUUUUAUACUCCUAUAGAUAUGAAACAGAGUUAUGUAAUGGUGUCAUUGUGAACAUUAAACAAGAUACUUAAAGCUCUUCUUCAGUCAGGUCCAACAUGAUCGGCUGAUUAUCUUCCAAUGUACCAUUGCAUUUGCAUAUGCAAGAAAAGUUAAUUACUUUAUUUUCUAGAAAAAAUCAUUAUCAUCUUGGCAAUCUCCUAAUAUCAACACAGGUUUCUACUUUGGAUUGAUGUUAUCGUUGAUCAUGUUCUCUCCUUUCUUGUCCUAACUAUUUAGAAAGCCGCUAGAGAAGAGCAUGAAGAAUCUUCAUUGAUAAUGGAGGUACAAACAUCAUGCAGAGUUGAUGAGAAAGAAAAGGAGAUUGCCCAUAGCUUCAUGCAAUUAAAAU